UACGGGGGGGGCAAGCGUUGUUCGGAAUUACUGGGCGUAAAGGGCUCGUAGGUGGCCAACUAAGUCAGACGUGAAAUCCCCAGGCUCAACUUGGGAACUGCGUCUGAUACUGGAUGGCUUGAAUUCGGGAGAGGGAUGCAGAAUUCCAGGUGUAGCGGUGAAAUGCGCAGAUAUCUGGAGGAAUACCGGUGGCGAAGGCGGCAUCCUGGACCGAGAUUGACGCUGAGGCGCGAAAGCCAGGGGAGCAAACGGG
rnacentral:rRNA from 1 species